rnacentral:rRNA from 1 species
CACGCCGUAAACGUUGGGCGCUAGGUGUGGGACUCAUUUCACGAGUUCUGUGCCGCAGCUAACGCAUUAAGCGCCCCGCCUGGGGAGUACGGCCGCAAGGCUAAAACUCAAAGGAAUUGA